GAAUUUUGGACAAUGGGGGCAACCCUGAUCCAGCCAUGCCGCGUGCGGGAAGAAGGCCUUCGGGUUGUAACCCGCUUUUAGCCGGAAAGAAAAGGGCGCCCCUAAUACGGGUGUCUCUUGACGGUACCGGCGGAAUAAGCACCGGCUAACUACGUGCCAGCCGCCGCGGUAAUACGUAGGGUGCGAGCGUUAAUCGGAAUUACUGGGCGUAAAGCGUGCGCAGGCGGUCCGUUGUGUCCGAUGUGAAAGCCCCGGGCUUAACUUGGGAAUGGCAUGGGAAACUGGCGGGCUGGAGUGUGGCACAGGGGAGUGGAAUUCCGCGUGUAGCAGUGAAAUGCGUAGAGAUGCGGAGGAACACCGAUGGCGAAGGCAGCCCCCUGGGCUAACACUGACGCUCAGGCACGAAAGCGUGGGGAGCAAACAGG
rnacentral:rRNA from 1 species